AUGGGAGGCUACUACUGCUUGUUCCCCUGCUUGCUCAUCUGCUUUCUGCUCCACACACAUGGCAGCCACUCCCUGAACCAGACAUGCAACUCCACUGACCUGGAGGCGCUUCUCGCUUUUUCCAGCGGCUUGGAUAGGAAAGUCAGCAGGCUUGUUGGAUGGGGUCCCAACGAUGCAGCGUGCUGUUCCUGGACCGGCGUCUCUUGUGAUCUGGGGAGAGUUGUUGGGUUGAAUCUCUUCAGCAAGAACCUUCAUGGCGGCAUCUCAUCCGCGAUCACCUUGCUUGAUGGCCUUGUGACUCUAAACCUCUCCUGCAACUCUCUCCGUGGCCAGCCACCAGAGGAUCUAGGCCGGUUAGCAAGGAUGCGGAUUCUCGACCUCAGCAUGAACAUGCUCUCCGGCGCGUUCCCGACGAGUGAACAUGGUUUCCCGGCAAUUGAGGUGCUGAAUGUAUCCUUCAACCAAUUCAAGGGACCGCACCCUGUGUUCCCUGGCGCGAUGAAUCUGAUGGUUCUUGAUAUCUCGAGCAAUGCCUUCUCUGGUGCCAUCAACACCACAGCACUCUGUGUUGCGCCGGUCAAGGCCUUGCGAUUUUCUGGGAAUGAGUUCACCGGUGAGAUCCGCGCCGGGUUCGGCCGGUGCAAGAUGCUUACUGAGCUCUCUAUUGACAGCAGUGGCCUUACUGGGAAACUCCCCAGGGAUCUUUACACGAUAUCAGAGUUGAGGAGGCUGAGCUUACGAGAUAAUCAGUUCUCUGGUAGUCUCGGCGAGGACCUGGGUAACUUCUCUCAGCUUAUGCAUAUUGAUCUUUCAUAUAACAUGUUCUCUGGUGUCAUCCCUGAUGUGUUUGAAGGUCUGAGGAGGCUGGAGUUCUUAAGCUUGGCCUCAAAUUUGUUGACUGGCACAUUGCCUGCUUCCCUGUCAAGCUGCAAAAUGCUGCGAGUGAUCAACCUAAGGAACAACUCGCUGUCGGGCAAGAUCGCCAUUGACUUCCGUUUACUGCCAAGGUUAAACAUUCUGGAUGCAGGGACCAAUAGAUUGAGUGGUCCUAUACCUCGAGAUCUCAUGUGGUGCACUAAGUUGAGGACACUGAACCUUGGAAGGAACCUGCUUGAUGGGGAGAUACCAGAGAGCUUUAAGCAUUUGCGAUCCCUAUUAUUCCUCUCGCUUGCUGGUAAUGACUUAACGGACUUGUCAUCGGCAUUACGAGUCUUGCAGCACCUGCCCAAACUGACAACGUUGGUGCUUACCCGGAGCUUCCGUGGUGGUCAGACAAUGCCAAUGGACAGCAUCAGUGGGUUCAAGAGCUUGCAGGUGCUUGUUCUUGCAAACUGUGCACUCUCAGGCAUGAUCCAGCCUUGGCUGCAGAACUCAAAAAACCUGAGAGUGCUGGACAUUUCGUGGAACAAAUUGAGUGGACCGAUCCCACCAUGGUUAGGCAAUCUGAAUAAUCUCUUCUAUAUCGAUCUGUCAAGAAACUCGUUUAGUGGGGAGCUUCCUGAGAGCUUUACACAGAUGAAGGGUUUAAUUUCGAGUGCUUAUUCAAGUGAGCAUGCAUCAAUAGAAGACCUCCCAUUAUUCAUCAAAAAGAAUCCAGCUGGCAAUAGUUUGCAGUACAACCGUGUGGUCAGCUUCCCACCAUCGCUGAUCCUCUCUAAUAAUUUGCUUGCUGGGCCAGUCUUGCCUGGCCUUGGCCAUCUUGUGUAUCUUCAUGUACUGGACUUGAGCUGGAACAAGUUCUCAGGGGGCAUUCCUGAUGAGUUAUCAAGCUUGGAAAUCUUGGAAGAGCUAAAUUUAACCCACAAUGAUCUCAGUGGGAGCAUACCAACAUCUCUAACAAAGUUGUCAUUUCUCUCCAAGUUUGAUGUCUCGUACAACAACCUGACUGGAGAUAUCCCAACAGGGGGCCAAUUUUCCACAUUCACAGAUGAGAGUUUCGUGGGCAAUGAUGCACUAUGCCUUCGUCGGAAUGGCCCCUGCUUCGGAAAGGCUUCAUUUGAAGGAACAGAAAAUGAUGGCACCGAUACCAUAUCCACAAUGCCCGCAAUGACAUACAUCAUCGCAGAAGCGGGAUUCGCUUUCGGGCUUUUGACCGUCUGUAACAUACUGUUCUUCGCAAGGGCUUGGAGGGCCGCUUAUUUUCUGGCGGUUGACAGGUUCUUUGAUAUGCUCUACGUCAUAAUAAUGGUGAAGGUGAACAAGCUCAGAAGAAAAUGGGAGGAUAAAGAGCAUCCUUAG
rnacentral:rRNA from 1 species